AUUAGCUACCAUAGCUAUUUUGGAAAUUCCUUCAGUUGACGUUUCUGGUGAUUUAGACGACCAAGACAAUCUCUCUCCUUCGCAUUUGGUGACCAAUGCAAGCAAAAUUGUUGUGUCAUUCAGGUUCGUUCAACCACUGUUUGCUCCAUUCAAGCUUCUUCAUUUAGUCAUUGCCUUGCUUUCAAGUUUGUUCUCACAUUUUGAUACUCAAGCUUUGUGCUGCCAUAUGUUGUUUACAAGAAUCUGUUGGUAACAAAGUCACUUAGAUGAGCCAAUAUUUGAUGGACGAGUUCAAGAAUGGAGGAAAAGAGGUGUACUUAGCACCCUAUUUGAAUAAUUUCUUGUAGUUCUCUUAUAUUCAAUACACAAGAAAACUAUUGACUUACUUAUUAGACACAUCAUCGAUUCGUCUUUGGAAGCAUGCUUGAGGUUGUAGGGGCUUCCUCCGAUAGUUAAAAAGAAACUUCAAUAUAUUGCCCCCAAGAUAUUUAAAAAUCCACAUCCAUUUUCCCAUGAAGACAUGGAAGAUAUCCACACCACAUGGGCAUGUUCUUUUAUUGAGGCUAUUGAGAAUUGAUUUAUGUUUUUGUAGAUUGUUUAUGAAGUUUAAUUUAUACAUUCUUUCAAUUUAAAUGAUAGAUAUUGUAUAUUGUAUAGAUUAGUAUUGAAUUGGACAACAAUAUGUAACUUACAUUCUAUUA